rnacentral:rRNA from 1 species
UCUUGAGAGCGGCGUACGGGUGCGGAACACGUGUGCAACCUGCCUUUAUCUGGGGGAUAGCCUUUCGAAAGGAAGAUAUGUACCCCAUAAUAUAUUUUUCGGCAUCGAAAGAUAUUGAAAACUCCGGUGGAAUGAGAUGGGCACGCGCAAGAUUAGAUAGUUGGAUGGGUAACGGCUCACCAAGUCUGCGAUCUUUAGGGGGCCUGAGAGGGAUGUCCCCCACACUGGUACUGAGACACGGACCAGACUCCUACGGGAGGCAGCAGAUGGGAAUAUUGGACAAUGGGAUGGAGCCUGAUCCAGCCAUCCCGCGUGAAGGACGACGGCCCUAUGGGUUGAUGACUUCUUUUGUAAUGGGAAUGACCUACCCUCGUGAGGGUAGCAUGAGGUACUAUACGAAUAAGCACCGGCUAACUCCGUGCCAGCAGCCGCGGAUGUACGGAGGGUGCAAGCGUUAUCCGGAUUUAUUGGGUUUAAAGGGUCCGAUGGCGGAUCUGAUGGUCAGUGGUGAAAUCUCACAGCUUAACUGUGAAACUGCCAUUGAUACUGCAGGUCUUGAGUGUUGUAUGAGUAGCUGGAAUAAGAUGUGUAGCGGUGAAAUGCAUAGAUAUUACUUAGAACACCAAUUGCGAAGGCAGGUUACUAAGCAACAACUGACGCUGAUGGACGAAAGCGUGGGGAGCGAACAGGAUAUGAUACCCUGGAUGUCCACGCCGAUGNCGAUGCUAACUCGUUUUUGGGUUUUCGGAUUCAGAGACAUGGCGAAAGUGAUAAGUAUGCCACCUGGGGAGUACGAACGCAAGUUUGAAACUCAANGGAAUAUGCGGGGGCCCGCACAAGCGGUGGAUUAUGUGGUUAUGUUCGAUGAUACGCGAGGAACCUUACCAAGGCUUAA